UAGGGAAUCUUCGGCAAUGGACGAAAGUCUGACCGAGCAACGCCGCGUGAGUGAAGAAGGUUUUCGGAUCGUAAAACUCUGUUGUUAGAGAAGAACAAGGACGUUAGUAACUGAACGUCCCCUGACGGUAUCUAACCAGAAAGCCACGGCUAACUACGUGCCAGCAGCCGCGGUUAUACGUAGGUGGCAAGCGUUGUCCGGAUUUAUUGGGCGUAAAGCGAGCGCAGGCGGUUUCUUAAGUCUGAUGUGAAAGCCCCCGGAUCAACCGGGGAGGGUCAUUGGAAACUGGGAGAGUUGAGUGCAGAAGAGGGGAGUGGAAUUCCAUGUGUAGCGGUGAAAUGCGUAGAUAUAUGGAGGAACACCAGUGGCGAAGGCGGCUCUCUGGUCUGUAACUGACGCUGAGGCUCGAAAGCGUGGGGAGCAAACAGG
rnacentral:rRNA from 1 species